AGACCAGAUGCUCUGGCUCAGCAGAGUGGGGAAGUGCUUCUCUGAUGACCUUGACCGCAGAGGGCAUGCGGUGAAAACCAUGGGAUGGGGAAGUGCCCUGUUUCAGAUUUCAGACAUUAAAGGGGUCCUGUUACCCAAGAUGUGAAGAUCUGUAUUUAGAAAAUAGACCAAGUCCAGGGCUUACUAUUCACUUUUAUUUUUAGCCUCUUCUAGGACACGGGGAAUAAAAUUUGAUUUACAGAAAACCAGCAUUCUUAAUGGCAGACGAGCCAAGAACUUCAAGGGUCAUCUCUUUAUUUCCUGCUCUAGUUGGGAGUGAGGGGAGUCCUCAGCCCACCCCCUCGAUAUUCUGGCAGGGUUCUCUCGGAGGCUACAGCCAGCCCCUGAGCCACCUUGUCUCCUCUGAUGGCUUCCGUGCCAGCUCUACACUGCUGACCCCCAGUUCCAUUCCUCAGAUGACCUUUCUCCAGCUGAGCUAUCCUGCUUCCUCCUGGGUAGAGAACAUUCUCAAACUCCACAUGUCAACAACCACUGAAUCAUUCCCCUCUCUGGUCUCCCAAGCUGGAUUUUCUAUCCCAGUGACUAGCAGGCAAAUCCACACUUCCUCCUUCUCCCUCACCACCCCCACUCGCCCAGAGCCACUCAUUCCAGAAGGUUCUCUGUCCUCAACAUCUCCUGCUUCAAUCUUGUGCUGUCCUUCCCCCAGUGCCUCCAUGCUAGCUCAGGACAUGACCGUUUCACACCUAGACUGUGGCAAGAGUCUCCCAUGUGGCCCUUUUGGUCCACGUCUGCUCCCUCUACCUUAUUCUCUAUCCUGAAACUAGAGUCAUCUAAGAUGUGCCAUUGAUGAGUUUAUGACUUGUGGAAUAUUUACUGUAUGUGAGUUACUGUGCUGAGCUCUUUACAUGCAUAAUCUUUUUAAGAAACCUCCCUAAAAACUAUGUGAAAAAGACCUUCAUUAUCCCCAUUUCAGAGAUAUGGAAACUGGGACACAGAGAGGUUAAGUAUCUUGUCUGGGGUCACACAGCCAUUAAAAGGGAAAGUCUGCUCCAAUGUUACUCUCUGGUUUAGAAUCUUUCAGUGACUCCCCCCAAAUACUGACCUUCUGGGCAAAAUGCACACUUUCAGCUUGGUCACAGGGUUCUUUGUGACCUAGGCUCUGCCUCUCUGUCUGGAUUUAUCACUCACCACACUUCACCCUGACCUCUGGGGCUCCAGCUUUGAGGAGCUGCCUACAACUGCUCAGAGCACCCAUGCCUACUGUUCUUGUCUUCGUUCAAGUUGUUUGUUCCUCCAAGAUGCUUUCCCCAUCCAGUCUGUGUGGCAGACACAUCUCCCAAAGUUCAACUUAAAGGAGGUUCAUGCCUCCCCCCAUGGAACCUUUCCAGAGUGUGUUCGCACCCUGCCCCCAAUCCCUUGGAGAACUGACCUCCUACUCCUUUGGGCUUGGCUGUAACCAGGCUACGCACUAUGACUUCACCACCAGCGGGCAGGGCAGGGGCCGGGUCUCCAUGCACUAGUGCUAUAUGGAUAUUUACCGUGGGUGCUGGUGGCCUCGUUAAUUGAGGCUGCCUGGAGAGGGUGUUUCUCACUGUCUCAGUGGUGUGGGCAAUACUGAUUGGGUGUGAAUGUCACCCACUUGCCUGAUCUCCAGGAGACUGAACCGAGGGAGCUGGAUGGCCUUUGGAGCCUGGGGAAUGGCUCCCCCGGGCCAACAGAAAGACCAAGAAAGUUUCAGAUUCCACAUUGCAACUAAUCUUUGGGAAACUUCCACUUGUUGAGUUUUGUGGAGCAUCAGGGAAGAAUAUCCACAACUAUCUGAAGAGGUUAUCAGAACACUCCUUGCUUUCCCCACUACCCAGCUGCAAGAGGCUGGACUUUCUACACAUAUUUCAACUGAAAAAAACGCAUUGGAGGAGAUGGGAUGCAGAAGCCGAGUGGAGACUCCUGCUGUCUUCUAUGAAGCCAGACAGCUUGAUGCACAGCUGAGACCCAACCAGUCCCAGCCCCCUGUAACUUCUAGCUCUUCCCUGUAGAGUCAGAACAUUUUGUCUACUGCUUAACUAACCACUGCCUCCUCAAACUAUGGUCUCUGUCCUCCUGACCCUGGGAAGUUUCCGACACCUCCUAGGGGUGAAAAUCAACUUCUCCUAAUCUCCAGCUGUGCCCAGGGGACCAGGGGUGGUGUUUCCAAACUUCUAACCAUCCCAGGACAGGGGUCCCAGUGCCCCCAUGCUCUCCACUGCCCCUGGGAGCCUAUGGCCAAGUAGACACUGUCUAACUCACCCUAGGUAGGGGUGUGGGCCCUCCAAAUAUAACUGAUCCCCCCAGUGCAGGGGGUGGGGGUGUCUAAGCCCAAGAUCUCCCAAGUCCCUGUCUCUAACUCCCAAAGAGGGUGCUGAGCCUCUUUAGUUUGGACCCACUUCCCAAACAGAUAGGCAGAUGAUGUUGUUCAUUGGAGACAAAUUGGACAACCACCACCACCAAGCAUCUUUCAUGUUAAAGAUCGAAAACUGUAAAAUGAUCUUUACCCUAAAUCUUUAUUUUUAAAUUAAUACAUCUACAUUUUUUAAAACCUUCAGUUUUAAUUUCAGUUAAUUGCAAAUAUCGCUAGGCACAACCCAUAUAAACAAAAGCUCUUUUAGGUCCUCAGUAAUUUGUAGGAAUAUGUAUAUAGGGGGCCAAAAAGUUGAAGAACUGCUUUAUGCUAAAAUAGUGAAGGUUCUUAUGGGUGGCUGUGAGCAAGUGAUGCAUUACCCGGGGGUCCCAGCUCCCCUGUGCUCUCCACUGUCCCCAGGAGCCUGUGGCCUAAGUAGACAAAAUCUAACCUACCCUGGGUGUGGGUGGGGGCCCUCCAUAUACAACAGACAUUGUCAUCCUUUUCCAGAUUAUUCCCCAACUCCAGGCUUCAAUAUGACCCUAAAAUAAGGCCCUUGACUUCAGGGGACAGAUAAGCAUGCUACAGGAGACCCAUGGCUCUGAUAAGAGCACACACCCUUUGUCCCUUUCCUGCUCUCCCUCUUGAUGGAAAGAACAUGGACCUUGAGUCAGGCUAACUUUGGUCUCAGUCUCAGCCCUGCUUUUAGCCCGCGAGGGGACCCUAGACAAGUCUCUCAAUUCUCUGGUUUCCAUAGAGCAAUAACAAUGCUUGUCUUUCCUUACUGAGACUGUUUUGAGGCAUAAACAAAGGAAUGGGGACAAAUCUGUAGAGGCCUUACCAAUGUGAGUGAUGAACGUUGUCCAACAAAGAAUUCCCAUACACAUCUAUGACCAUUCAUUUCACAAAUACUUACCCAAAAUGUGGCCCAAGGCAGGCCUCGAAUGCAAAAACAAGAACACACAGUUCCAGCCUCCAAGGAGCUCCUGGUUUAGCAGACAAGACAGUGUGAUAUGGUAAAUUUGAAUUCUCAACCAAUUUCCCCCCCAAGCACCUGCUCCUGCUUCUCCACGCCUUAUGACCCCUUCCUCCUGCAGACAACCAGAUGGUGCUACAUCUGUGCUUUGGCAAAGGGAAAGAAUUCCAGAAAGAACUUUUGGCUGUUUGGUCAAAAGCCUGGCCUCGAGGAACCUCGAGGUUUAGAGAUUACCAAUGAGGAGGCAGCAUAGAGCUUCCCUUUCCCUUCCAUGACCAGAAACUGGCCUCUGUGGGCACCGUGGAGGGGAGAUGUCAGUGGGGCCCCUGGGGCUCAGGAUGAAAGGUCCCAGCCGAGGUGAACCAAGUGGAGCAGAAUGGCGCAGCGCAGAGAUCAUUCCAACAAACACCAUCCACCAUCAGAACUGGGGAGCAAGGGUGGGGGGGUUCCUGGCAACCUAUCAGCAACUCUAGCCUGUGCCCUUUGUAUACCUCUGAGCAGCCCAGGUCACCAGUACCGGGGAGCCACGCUCUUCGUCGGGUGCUCUUUGCAUCUGAACUUCUCUGCAACCAGCGUGUUGUCUGGUAACCAGUAAAAGAGGCGCCCAGGUGUGCACUCAAGACUUUGUUCAACUGCAUUCCGACUACCCUCAUAGAGAUAAACCUUUCCUUUUUUGACGGCCUGAGGCUCUGAGUUGUUAAGGGGUAGAAGGGGAAACCUCAGAGGCUGGUGCUGGGGGUGAUACCACAGGGAGCCAACCGGAGGGCCCCCCCCCCGCCCCCCGCCAUUACCAGAGAGAGAAAAGCUUCAACAGAAAUGGGCAGGGAGCAGCAAGAGUACAGAGGAAGUGACUCAUUCUCCCAGGCUUUUCGGGGCAGGAAGCGGAUGGGAGGAAAAAGGGUCAGGGAGGGCUUCACAGAGGAGGUGACAUUUGAACUGGGUGUGGGUGUCUGGCCACCGGUCAUCUCCCCAGAACUCAGCCUGCCCAGCUGAGGACAAAGAGUCCGGUUUCCUGGGAAAGAGGAACACACUGAGAAGCCCUCACUAUGAGCCAGAAGUCAGGUAGAGAUCUAGCAGGCACAGGCUCGUCUCUAGAAAUUGUCGCAUGGUUUUCUUCAGAGCACAGAUAUUAUUACCUUAUAUUCGGUCCUAUCCACUGACAAAUAGUGAUCGAUACUCCCUGUGCUACCUUUAGGACGGGUAAGGGGCUACACCACAGUAGAAGAGCCACGGUUGACUUACUGAGUACUCAAUGCACACCAGGCACAGUGCUUUGCAUCUGCAUUCAUUAUACCUUUCAUCCCACAGGGGAGUGUUUUAAUCCUGAAUUUGUAGAUAAGAAAAUAGGCUAAAGUUCCAGCAGCUGGUUAAAUGGCAGAAACAAGAUUUAAACUUAAACGUGUACUCACUUUCUUUCUACCUGGACUCCAGCUUGGACAGCUUAGACUUUAGUUGGAUAGCUAAGGAAUAAGUGCUGAAAAGGGUAAAUGAUAACACAAGAGGUAAACUCAUGUUUGGGUCAAGUGCCCUUGCACAGAACCUUGUGCUUACCCCUGCUCAGAAAGCCCUGCUGAUGCUCCCUCUAACUUGUACCUGUCCGUGUCUCUAAAUCUCCACUCUGCCCGGCUAUUAUUCCAUCUCUCACCUGGACCAAGCUCUAGACUGGACACAGAGUAGAAGGUCUUGACAGAAACAAAGUCAGUCCCUGCUUUUGGGUUUCCCAUAGUCAGAAAGAGUGGCAGGGAGAGUCUGCUAAGUGUCCCCCAACAUCCACUUGUCCUUCUAUUAAAGCAACAGAAUCCCUUGGGUUUUUAGCUGGGGAAACAGAUGCUCAGAACCAAGACUGGGGCUCCUUGCCCAUUUUGUAGCUACAUGUGGUCAUGUGACCAAGCUCUGACCAAUGUGAUUUGACCAGAUAACUUUUGGCUCCAGCCCUUAGAGGAAAAAGGUGUGACUCCCCUUCCCCUUCCAUCCUUUCCCCUGGCAGGGAUGAGGACAUGGUGUUGAGCUCUUUUGGACUAUGUAGGUGAGGUGACAGCAAUGGCAAAACAAGUGGCUCUGUGAAGCAGAGCUGCCCUUCCAAUUCCACGUUUUACAUGAGAGAGAAAUUAAACUUCUUUCAAGUUGUGUGGAGAUCAUAUAAACACCCAGUAAAUACAGGGGGAGAAAAGAUCGAAAAAACCAUCACUCAAGUAUGUACUUUGUAGAAGUACAAAUUAUAAUAAAUGCAAUGAAAACUACAUAGCAUUUUUCCUGAGAGACUAGAACUUGGGAGUCAGGGUAGGGGGCAGCUAGCUUAUAAUUGUCAGUUAAGGAAGGUUUCUGGCUUAGUUCGGGCUACUAUAACGAAUACCACGACCUGGGUGGUUUAAACAACAGGCAUUUAUUUCUCACAGUUCUGGAGGCUGGGACGUCCAAAUGAAGGUGUUAGCAGAUUCCAUGUCUGGUGAGAGUCUUCUUCUGGCUUGUAGACGGCUGCCUUCUCGUUGCGUCUUUACACGGCCAAGGGAGAGAGAGUUCUGGUCUCCUCCUGUUUUUUUUUUUCCUCCUGUUUUUAUAAGGGUGCUAAUCCCAUCCUGAGGGGCCCGCUCUCAUGACCUCAUCUAAACCGAAUUACCUCCCCAAGGCCCCACCUGCAAAGAGCAUCGCUUUAGGAGUUAGCACUUUAAGACAUGAAUUGGAAGGCUCACGAAACUUCACUCGCGUAUCGGCUGCUCUGAGAACCGGAUGCUUAUGCUGAGACCGACCCCAUGGGUAGGAUUUGGUCAGGGAUUUAGAGGGACCAGGAAAGAGAAUCUGUGAAGGCUCUGAGGCCAGAGACAAUGUAGCCACUGCUGGGACCCCAAGAAGGGCCGUGGGAGCAGAGCCCCUCUGCCAAGUUCUUAGUUCUUGGGCUCGCUAUCCUCCCCCUCCCAGGUGAAACAGCCUAGGCUCCUCAGCACCUAGACGUGGGGCUGCACAAUGACUUUGGUCCAAAUACCUCUUGAGGGGAUGGCCUGGUGCCUCUAGAAAGAAAGAUCUGGAGGACAGAUGCAAACCUUCUCUCAGGAAAGAACUCCCAGAGUCAAGCCCAGAGAAGCUGAAUCUGCAGUUGGGGCCCCAGAGGGGUGUGGGCCUGGGAGGAAGGGGAAGCCGAGGGUCAGAGAGGAUCAAAAGGUGAGAAACCGGACAGGUGUGUAAGCUGAGGCUCCGAGGUGUUAGGCAGGACCUAGCCGCAUGCCCAGAGCUGCUCCGUAUUGAGGCCUUGAUGUUGUGUGCGCAUGUGUGGUUGUGGGUUCACUGCCACUUCUAAACUGUGCCACGCCCAGCAGCAAAUGACUCUCAACACAGAAUCUCUCUGCAUCCUCACACGCUGACUUUAUGAGUGAGGCAUUAUCUCCAUUUUACAAAUGAAGACGCUGAGGCUCAGAGAGGGGGAGGUCAGCCACCUGGUUCAAGGUCACCAAGUGGGUAGUGUUGACCUGGGGUGGGGGUAGAGCCAGGGCUUGUCUGACCUAGCACCGGAGUUCCCGUGGGGAAACACAACACAUUCACCCUAUCCAGGAGGUGACCUGACCACUUGGACAGGGUGUUGGAGACUCACCUGUCCAGGAGACCUUGGGCAGAGUAUUGAAGACUCUUGGCCUGGGAACCAAAGAUGGUCCACAGCUGUGUUCAGUUUGGCUGGUCCAUGAUUUAAACAAACAACUGAAUGUGAAUGCCUGUAGGCAGAGAAGGGACUCUGUAGAUUAUCAUAAUCUCCCCCACUUAUUCUCACUUACUCCCUGCCUUGGCCCCAAAGACAUCUCGGUGUUCGUGUAGCCUUCAUUCUAGAAAAACCUUUCUUUAGCACCAGAAGCCAGUUGAGGAAGCUUUCCUGAGCCCCUCUUCCAGUCACUCUGGAAAUACAUUAGAGACUUGGAGCCUAAGUAGUUACCUAAUACAUUACAUAUCGAAUAUCUAAUAUCUACAACACAAUGCUUUCUCCUAUCAAGGAGGGUAACAUGGGUAGGCAAGGAUCUUGCUUUAUGAACUAGCCAUUAUGUGCACGCUGCAAGCAAGUUAAGAAAAGACUGAACCGGCCGAGUCCUUGCCUGGAGUUCUUUAGGAACAAGAGGCAGUUGUGUUCUCUAGAGCUGGAACGUGGCAGGUGGGCAGCUGGGACAUACCGAGGUAGAAAGCUCGAGGGAGCACGGUGUCUGAGAAUUUCUGUGUCCUUUUCCUGCAUUUUGCCAAGCUUGCUAGCUCUCUGCAGCUGAGUCUUAAAAGACCCCCGGGUUUCCCACUGUAUACCCUAUCUGUCAGGUCUGGAGUUGAACCAGGACACCACCAUCAGGCCCGGAGUUUUCUUUCCAAAGCACUAGUCCCUGACCCCCUGGAGUGUUCGAAAUUUGCAGACCUCUUGCCAUUUAGAGUAGCCACCUUUUAGUUCAAGGGGUAGAUAAAGGACUUUGAGUUCCUUUGGUUGCAAGUUGCCUUGGGCAAGGGAAGUUGUUUUCCUGCACUCAAAAUAGCCAUCUGUGUGUUAACUACUUUUUUUUUUUUUUAGAUGAAAGCGACAACAUUUUUUUUAAAAAACCAAGAUAAAUUGAAGCUGUCCAUAGUAUGUCUAGUGCAAAGCUAUAAUCGAGGGGUUUAUGUUUCACGAAUGCCCUGAAAAUGAAAGUUUCACAUAAAAGAUGGGACUGAGUGCAGGCAAGAUCUCAAAGAGAAAAGAGCACCCCUCUCUGUUAACUUGGGUUUACAAUGAAGAGGAAGGCGCUCAUCCUUAUCCCAAGCCUCACCCCAUGAAAAUUAAGUCAUGCUCCCAUGAAAUAGGCAGGAAGGGGUGGGGCUCCCGGGGCUUAUGAAACUGCAUCUCAUUCAAACAGCAAAGUGAAAUGCGCCUUGCCUAGGGUCACAGUCUAAUUGCCUCUGAGUAAGCAGGUUCUGAACAUGCUAUUCUUCAAAAUCUCCAACCUGCUUCCCUGCGCCUGUUUUGAAUUUCCUCUUCUCUAACAUAUAUUUAUAUCCUGCCUGUUACAAGCCGACAAGAACAAUCACUAGCAUUAUCUGUUUCCUUUCAGAUCCUGCUGUAAUUCGCUUACCUUCUUCCCACGGGUCGUUUUCUUACCCCCCCACCCCCACCCCCACCCCCUUGGAAUAAACCAAACUGUCUUAUAAAGAUGAAGGGAGAAAAGAGGUUGUGCUUUGGGACUUUAUUUAAAAAACAAACAGCAACAACAAAGCCAAGGUUAUUUGGUGCUGAGUACGCAAAGGAAUGUAGUAAAUUCGUGAGUUUAUUUAUUUAUUCCCUCGAGAAUUUACCAUGUACCAGCCCUAUGCCAGGCAGUAUGGACAAAAUGGAAAACCUGAUAUGGUCCCAUUUGCUCAAGAAACUCAGAGGCUGCUGGAGCAUGUAGACAAAACACACCUCAGACAUUUGCAAGAGACUGGGGCUCUGUGAAUGAGCUUGACUUGCUAUUGUUGAAAAGCCCAUUUUCAGGUUGUAGGCCAAAGGAGGAAGAAGGAUGGUUUCUGUUGAUCUGAUCUGAUUGAAGUUGUCGAGCCAUUCUCAUUACUAAUAAUAAUGUAUUAGGUCCUCCCAAACGACAGAGCAAGGCUUUCUGUGGACAAUUGCCAUCUGUCCAAGAUCACCAGUGCCCCUGGCUUUAGCUUAAGGGACAUGAUCUUUGACUUAUUUUCCUAAUCCCGGGAGGGAUGCACAGAGAGGAGUACAAAGCACAGGAGAGCUAGAAAGUGAGAGCACCGUGAGAAGCUUGUCAACUCCUCAGCCUGUCAGAAGGUUCUCUCUGUCUCUGUCUCAUGUUCUGCAUGUACUGCAGCACAGGCCUUGGAAUUGCCUCCGUGGGAGCCAUUCCAGGAGAGGGGCUGGCCUUCCAUGAGGAUGCGGGGAAUCAGGGUUGCAAGGUCACCCACGCCGUCGCUCCCCUGCUUGGCACCCAUGGCAAAUAUCAGCAACUGAUAUCAGGUCGCCUGAUCUCAACCAGUGUUCCUCAUCAGAAUCAGAGAAGCAAUAUUGACUUUCUCAAUUGUCCUAAGAAUUUACAUGACUCAUCCCACUGUAGAUGCACAGGGGAGAAAUUAAUUCCUUAUCAUCAGUGCCUCUGGGGCACUGGGGCUUCCUUCUCUGAGGAACCCUACGUGCAAUCUGACCAUCCUUCUCCACAGGUAACCCAAGGCAAGCAACCAUCUAUCCCAGCAGGUUGGUGAAUGAGUGAGUGGAAGUUUAUUUGCCACCCUGGACCAUUUGGCAACCUGAGGGAACUAAAGGAAAGGCUACAGAAAGAGUAUCCAUAAACUCUUCCACUAGGGGCUUCUGAGAGCUCCUUUGGGUAUAGCCCUGAAGUGCACUGGAAGACACAAAAGGAAACUGGGCAUCGUAACAAACUUUCCUCAUGACACCGCCAUGUUUGCUGUAUUUGUAGAUACUGUGGCAGAUGGAAUUCCAGAUGGAUUCCUGCCCCAGGUGUACACACACCAUAGAAUCCCCUCCCUGAGAGAGUGAGGGGAGUGGGUGGGACCUGAGAGUAUGGCGGCACUUCAGUCCUCUGGUUAGGUUACAUUGUGUGACAAAGGCGAAGAGACUUCUCAGAUGUCCCUCACUAGUUGACUCUGAGUUCAUCAAAUGGGAAGAGUAUGACUCUGAGUUCAUCAAAUGGGAAGAGUAUCCUGACCCAAUCAGGUAAACACUUUAAAUGAGGGUUUAGAUGUCAGAAACAGAAGAGUCAGAGAGGUUCAAAGCCAUAGACACCCUCCUCUAUUGACCUUAAAGAAACAAAUUGUCAUGUGUGGAGAGGGUCACAUGGCCAGGAACACUGGGUGGCCUCCAGGCACAGAGGGCCUUAGCCCUCCAGCUGCAAGGAACUGAAUCCUGCCAACAACUGAUGGGCUUGGAAGAAGACCCCGACCCUAAGAUGUGAUAGCAGCCCUGGCCACCAGCACUUGGAUUUCAGCAUUGGCAGACUCUGAGCCGAGAAAGCCAGAGAGAGAGGCAGAGACACAAGCAGAGGGAGAAGCAGGCUCCAUGCAAGGAGCCCGACACAGGACUCGAUCCCGGGACUCCAGGAUCACACCCUGGGCCAAAGGCAGGCGCCAAACUGCUGAGCCACCCAGGGAUCCCCAGUAUGUAAUCAGUAUUAUUGUAUCUUUACUCUCCCACCAGUGUUCCCUCACUUCAAUUAUUUCAAGAUGUAUACUAGCAUCAUAUAAUUUUAUUUCUAAAUACUUGUAUGUAUAUAGCUUAAAGAUGUAUACUCUUUAAAAAAAACCCAAUAUCUUACCCCAUCUAAAAAAAUAAAUGUAAUUUCUUAGUAUUAUCAAAUAUCUAGUCUGCAUUUACAUUUCCUGAUUGUCAAAUAUCUUGUUCUUUUGCGUAAAAAAAAAUGGAUCUAAAGAAGCUCCACAAGUUGCAAUUAAUUGAUAAAUCUCUUAUGUCUCUCUCUUUUUUUUUUCUUAUGUCUCUUUUAAUCUGUGGUUUCCCCUCUGCCUCUUUUUGUUCCUUGCACAUCUUUGUGGUAGAGACUGGGAUCUUUGUCACAUGGAGCUUCCCAUAACCCGAAUUUCUUUUUUUUUUUUUUUUCUUUUUCCGAAUUUCUUCUGAUUGCGACCUCAGUGUGUCCCCGGUCCCUGUAUUUCAUGUAGAUUGGAAGUGAGAUCAGGAGGCUUGAUCAGAUUCAGAUUUGAUUUUCAAGACCACUUUGCAGGUUGUAUUGUAUAAAUCUAUUAGGUGGCAUCUGAUUGGAUAUCUUUCUUUUGUGAGGUUCAAAUGCAUUGCUGAUUUAAAUUUUUUUUAAAAAAGAUUAUUUAUUUAUUUAUUCAUAGAUACACAGAGAGAGGC